UACGGAGGGUGCAAGCGUUAUCCGGAUUCACUGGGUUUAAAGGGUGCGUAGGAGGGCAGGGAAGUCCGUGGUGAAAUCCUAGAGCUUAACUCUAGAACUGCCGUGGAUACUCUCUGUCUUGAAUCCCGUGGAGAUGAGCGGAAUAUGUCAUGUAGCGGUGAAAUGCUUAGAUAUGACACAGAACACCGAUUGCGAAGGCAGCUCACAAAAACUAUAACUGACGCUGAGGCACGAAAGCGUGGGUAUCAAACAGG
rnacentral:rRNA from 1 species